rnacentral:misc_RNA from 1 species
GAGGUGCAAGGGAAUUUCUUGUUGGUGAUGUUGUUGGCUAUGGUGGUACGGAAGGAGAGACUUGAUCUAGGGGAAUUGGGAUUUGGGGUUUUGGGGUAUUAGCACAAAAUAUAUAUUGAUGUGGCAAGGUCUAAGGAGGAGAAAAGAAGAAGAGGGUUGUUGUUUCGGUUGAACAAGAUGGAGGGAAUCUACUAGUUACAAUUGUAGGGGGUAAAUUAGACUCAUGGUAAUUGAACUUAAGAUGUAUAACAUAAAGGUACCUCAAUUUUAAUUUGUAACAGAAAAGUAUCCCAACUUUAAUUUAACAGAAAAAUUGUUUCACAUCCUUUAACAAGUGAACCAAUUGUUAGAGAUCAUAGAUGCUUUUAUGUUUUUUCAAUUGAAGUUUCUAUUACAAAUUAUAGUCGAAAUAUUUUUAUUUACGCCUUAAGUUUAGGGAUAUCGUAAGUGUAAUUUAACCCAGGGGGAAAAGAAAUUCAUUGCUAGGGAUUCUUGAC